UACGUAGGGUGCGAGCGUUGUCCGGAAUUAUUGGGCGUAAAGAGCUCGUAGGCGGUGUGUCGCGUCGGCCGUGAAAACCUGGGGCUCAACUCUGGGCGUGCGGUCGAUACGGGUAUCACUUGAGUUCGGCAGGGGAGACUGGAAUUCCUGGUGUAGCGGUGAAAUGCGCAGAUAUCAGGAGGAACACCGGUGGCGAAGGCGGGUCUCUGGGCCGAUACUGACGCUGAGGAGCGAAAGCGUGGGGAGCGAACAGG
rnacentral:rRNA from 1 species